UGGGUUUUGGCUCAGUGGUAGAGCACUUGCCUAGCAUGCACAAAGCCCUGGGUUCGAUCCUCAGCACCACAU
rnacentral:tRNA from 1 species